GAACAUUAUUAUACAUGAACGUGAGUGGGAAAGAUGUAAGGGUGAAAAAUGUAUUCGCAAUUGAACGUAGGUGCAAAUUCUCAUACCCAUAACUAUUUAACCCCCUGCGGAUAGCUAAAUAGAACAAAUAGCAUACAUUUUCACUUUAUUAUUUAUGCCAUCUUCACUCAAAGCAAUCUAAUUUCCCUAUAUUCUUAAUGACAAAGAAAAACAAAGCAUCAAAGAUGGAGAGAGAAGAAAAAAAAAAGUAGAUUGAAUGCUACCAUUACAC